rnacentral:misc_RNA from 1 species
GAUGAAGAACGCAGCGAAAUGCGAUAAGUAAUGCGAAUUGCAGAAUUUCCGUGAGUCAUCGAAUCUUUGAACGCACAUUGCGCCCCCUGGUAUUCCGGGGGGCAUGCCUGUCCGAGCGUCAUUGCCGCCCUCAAGCACGGCUUGUGUGUUGGGCCCCCGCCCCCCGGCUUCGGGGGGCGGGCCCGAAAGGCAGCGGCGGCACCGCGUCCGGUCCUCGAGCGUAUGGGGCUUCGUCACCCGCUCUGUAGGCCCGGCCGGCGCCCGCCGGCGACCCCAAUCAAUCUUUCCAGGUUGACCUCGGAUCAGGUAGGGAUACCCGCUGAACUUUAGCAUAUCAAUAAGCGGAGGA